rnacentral:rRNA from 1 species
GCCGGUCUGGAAGUGCAAGCGCGACGGCCUGAAGGUCGGGAACCGGCAGGUGGCCGGCGGCUCGCCUCGUGCGGGUUGUCGGUUGUUAGCCUUCCCGUCAGUGGCCCGUCUCCAGACCGUGGUGUCGCGAGUCCCUCACGGGACUCCUCGUCUCCCACCCAGAGUCGCGGGACUGAGAGCCGCAAGGGUCUUUCGUUCUCGCCGUCGCACUCUUACGGAGUGGGCGGAGAGGCGCGAGGCCCCGUUGGUGGUUCCGGACCCGCGGGGGACCGGAGGCUGGCAGCGAGUAGGUCGGUCACCCACCCGACCCGUCUUGAAACACGGACCAAGGAGUCUAACAUGUGCGCGAGUCAAUGGGUCUUGACUAGGCCCAGGGGCGCAAUGAAAGCGAAGGAUUGCCUCGCGCAG